rnacentral:rRNA from 1 species
UAGCGAAGGGGGCGAGCGUUGUUCGGAUUUACUGGGCGUAAAGGGCGCGUAGGCGGCCCUCCUUGUCGCGUGUGCAAAGCCCCGGGCUACACCGUGGGAUUGCGCGCGAAACGGGAGGGCUUGAGUUCGGGAGAGGAGCUGGAAUUCCCAGUGUAGAGGUGAAAUUCGUAGAUAUUGGGAAGAACACCGGUGGCGAAGGCGGCGCUCUGGACCGAGACUGACGCUGAGGCGCGAAAGCGUGGGGAGCAAACAGG